GAUGAAGAACGUAGUGAAAUGCGAUAAGUAGUGUGAAUUGCAGAAUUCAGUGAAUCAUCGAAUCUUUGAACGCACAUUGCGCCCCUCGGUAUUCCGUGGGGCAUGCCUGUUCGAGCGUCAUUUAACCCCUCAAGCCUAGCUUGGUAUUGGGUGCUUGUCCCGCCUCUCGCGCGGCGACUCACCUCAAAGUCAUUGGCAGCCCGCAUCUCGCCGGCCGUGAGCGCAGCACAGACGCGCUCUUGGCAACGACGGAUCGGCUCUCCAAAAGCUUAUUUCAACCACUGACCUCGGAUCAGGUAGGGAUACCCGCUGAACUUAAGCAUAUCAAUAAGCGGAGGA
rnacentral:misc_RNA from 1 species